AAAUGAUCUCACUCUCACUGCAUAUUGUGAUUCCGAUUGGGCGAGUUGUCCACUAACUUGACGAUCAGUUACAGGUUAUCUAAUAUUCCUUGGUGAUUCCCCCAUCUCCUGGAAGAGAGCAAACAACAUUCUCUUGGUCAUCCGCUGAGGCAGAGUACCGCUCUAUGGCUCAUACUGCUUGUGAACUCACUUGGCUCUGUCAAUUGUUGCUUGACCUCAGCAUCAAGAUAACACAACCUGUUUCACUUUAUUGUGACAAUCAGGCUGCUAAGCACAUUGCUACUAAUCCGGUCUACCAUGUACGCACCAAGCACAAUGAAAUUGAUUGUCAUUUCAUUCUAGAGUGCAUUCAGUGUGGCUUGAUCAUUUGCAAAUACAUUUCCUCACAACGACAGCUUGCAGAUGUAUUAACUAAAGCUGUCAGAGUACAACAGUUUCAAUUCUUGAUUCGCAAGUUGGACAUUCGAGACCUCCAUGCUCCAACUUGAGGGGGCGUAUUGACUAGCUAUGCAAGCAAUCAGGGGCCGUUAUUGCUUUCUAAUUUUCUUGAUCUAUUACCAAGUUUGUGUAAUUCUUUCUGAUCUAUUCCCAAUUU
rnacentral:misc_RNA from 1 species